GUGGCGGACGGGUGAGUAAUACAUAGGAAUCUGCCCUUGAGCGGGGGAUAACCUGAGGAAACUUGGGCUAAUACCGCAUCUACUCUGAGGAGGAAAGCUAGGGGUAACUCUGGCACUCAAAGAUGAGCCUAUGUCCGAUUAGCUAGUUGGUUAGGUAAAGGCUGACCAAGGCGACGAUCGGUAACUGGUCUGAGAGGACGGACAGUCACACUGGGACUGAGACACGGCCCAGACUCCUACGGGAGGCAGCAGUGGGGAAUAUUGGACAAUGGGGGGAACCCUGAUCCAGCGAUGCCGCGUGUGUGAAGAAGGCCUGCGGGUUGUAAAGCACUUUUGUUGGGGAAGAGGGUGUUGUGUGUGCAUAGCGCAUGACAUUGACGGUACCCAAAGAAUAAGCACCGGCUAACUCUGUGCCAGCAGCCGCGGUAAUACAGAGGGUGCGAGCGUUAAUCGGAAUUACUGGGCGUAAAGGGCGCGUAGGUGGAGGAGUGAGUCAGAUGUGAAAGUCCUGGGCUUAACCUGGGGAUUGCAUCUGAUACUGCUUUUCUGGAGUGAAGUAGAGAGUGGCGGAAUUUCCGGUGUAGCGGUGAAAUGCGUAGAUAUCGGAAAGAACACCAGUGGCGAAGGCGGCCACCUGGACUUUAACUGACACUGAGGCGCGAAAGCGUGGGGAGCGAACAGGAUUAGAUACCCUGG
rnacentral:rRNA from 1 species